UGUAUCUUCUAUCUUGCACGACACUGUG
rnacentral:sRNA from 1 species